CGGGUCGUAGGUGGCGUGGAACGACGCGGUGUUCGGGUUUCCGCCCGAAGUGAUCGACGUCCCGGUGAUCUCCGCGCCGACGACCGGG
rnacentral:tRNA from 1 species